AACCAUAGAAACCUGCGGAGUACCUGCGGAAGGAUCAUUGAUGGAAAACACACAAGUCCCUUGGUUUUGGUGGGCCCCGCCCCGCCAUGCCUUGGGCAAACACACAAACAACAUACAUGACUAGGAAAAAACUGGGUUGGUCUCGGGAAAAAAGUUGUUGCCUGAUAAGCAGUAGCCUAUGAUUUGGGAUAAUACAACUUUUAACAACGGAUCU
rnacentral:misc_RNA from 1 species